rnacentral:rRNA from 1 species
CUUGACACUGAACACUGGUCCUUGAUGUGUAGGAUAGGUGGGAGGCUUUGAAGCGUGGACGCCAGUCUGCGUGGAGCCGUCCUUGAAAUACCACCCUUUAAUGGCUGGUGUUCUAACGUAGACCCGUAAUCCGGGUUGCGGACAGUGUCUGGUGGGUAGUUUGACUGGGGCGGUCUCCUCCCAAAGAGUAACGGAGGAGCACGAAG